CCCACCCUCAAUCUGGGUGGGCACCAUCUAAUCAGCUGCCAGCAUGAUCAGAAUAAAAGCAGGCAGAAUAAUGUGAAAAGACUAGGCUGGCUUAGUCUCCCACCCUACAUCUUUCUCCCAUGCUGGAUGCUUCCUGCCCUCGAACAUAGGACUUCAGCUUUGGAAUUCCGACUGGCUUCCUUUUCCUUAGCUUGCAGAUAGCUUAUUAUGGGACCUCACCUGGUGAUCAUGGCAUCUUUUCUUGCCAUGGGCCUCAAUCAAAACCAGAAGUCUUUCCAGUCACCUGGCAAAUGGCAAAAGCAGGAUACACAGCAAUGCCCCAGAUAGUCACUGCUGCACCAGGCUGGGUCCUGCAGUAAGGAUGAUGCAGAGCAGAACUGCCAACCAACCUGCAAUGGAUACGCAGUACAAGUGAGAAAUAAAUUCUUAAGUUUUAAGCCACUGACAUCAUGGAGUUAUUUUGUUACUACAGUGUAACCCAGCUCAUCCUGACUGAUAUGACUGUGAAUUCAACUGGUGAUUAAACACUGAGUUUAAAUCUUGGCUCUCUCAGUUCAGUAUGUACAAGAUAUAGGAGAUAUUUUCAACAACUUUACAUAAAGUCCCUACGUUU
rnacentral:lncRNA from 1 species